rnacentral:rRNA from 1 species
GACGAACGCUGGCGGCGUGCUUAACACAUGCAAGUCGAGCGGUAAGGCCCUUUCGGGGGUACACGAGCGGCGAACGGGUGAGUAACACGUGGGUGACCUGCCCUUAGCUCUGGGAUAAGCCUGGGAAACUGGGUCUAAUACCGGAUAUGACUCCAUGACGCAUGUUGUGGGGUGGAAAGCCUUGUGCGGCUAGGGAUGGGCCCGCGGCCUAUCAGCUUGUUGGUGGGGUGAUGGCCUACCAAGGCGACGACGGGUAGCCGGCCUGAGAGGCGACCGGCCACACUGGGACUGAGACACGGCCCAGACUCCUACGGGAGGCAGCAGUGGGGAAUCUUGCGCAAUGGGCGGAAGCCUGACGCAGCGACGCCGCGUGAGGG